AAAGUGCUUCCUUUAGAGUGAAACCCAAACACCCGACCGAGGACUCGGACAGUUUACUUCUUUACUCCAGUGUUUAAUGAGCAGAUCACCACUCCUCAUGGACAAGAGCUGGAGCUGCAUCAAGGAGUGACAAUGUGACCGCCUCCAGUGUCUCCAGCACAGCUGUCAUUAGCUUAGCUGGACCGGGUGAUGAUCAUCAGGACCAUGCUGUAUACACCACAGGAGAUGAAGCAGAUCACUGAGAUCCAAGCCCAGACAGAAGGCAUCAACAUCAGUGAGGAGGCACUGAGCCACCUUGGGGAGAUUGGCACCAAGACCACUCCGACAUAUUCAGUGCAGCUGCUGACCCCAGCCAACCUGUUGGCAAAGAUCAACUGGAGGGACAAGCACUGAGAAGGAGCAUGUGGAAGAGACCAUCGAGCUCUUCUAUGACACCAAGUCCUCUGCCAAGAUUCUGGCUGACCAGCAGGACAAGUUCAUGAAGUAAUGUUGGGUUUGGAGGUGCACAGGGUCUCGUCUCAAGCAUGCUUUGCAGUGUUACGGUUUUCUUUAUUAAACCUCCACGGUUGUUUGGAAGGAACCCUUCCCUACUUAGCUUGAUUUCUAAUAAAAAAAAAAAAGAAUCUUC